GGAUUGUAGCUCAGUGGCAGAGUUCUUGCCUACCAUGUGUGAGUCACUGGGUUCGAUUCUCAGCACCA
rnacentral:tRNA from 1 species